AAAAAGAUAAGCUAAUUAAGCUAUUGGGUUCAUACCCCAUUUAUAGAAGUUUUAAUCUUCUUCUUUUUA
rnacentral:tRNA from 1 species